rfam:Alligator mississippiensis ScZkoYb_301.2, whole genome shotgun sequence.
GCAUUGGUAGUUCAACAGUACAAUUCCUGCCUCCCAUGCACAAGACUUGGGCUCAAUUCCCAGCGAAUGCA